rnacentral:ribozyme from 1 species
AAGAAAAAACGAAAGGGAAAACCCAAGCUUCUUCUUCUUCUCUUAUCACUUGUGAUCCCUUUCUUUCUUUCUUUCUUUCUUUUUAAGACUUUAAGACAAGAGGACGAGGGACGACAGAGAAAUC